AUGAGUGAUCAGACUCCACUUCAUGGUCCAUGUUCACUAACAACACCAGAUACUGUCGUCUCUAACAAUGAAAAUGUUAAUGAUAUCAACUCUGCCAUUGAGUCCUCCCAACUGACUAUGUUACGACCGCCACUUCAAGCCUACAGAUGCAGCAGUUCAUAUGAAGCAAAACAAGCACUGAAGAGGCAGAGGGAAAAUGCCCGGUAUGAGCAACAUAAAGAAGAGAUAUUGCAAAGCCUACGUGACAACCGCCGUGCUGCCAAAUCUACAGCAGUGCUUACAACUGGAGAACAAAACCAAUCUGAUACAGCCGAUGAAGAUUGUGAUUGGCUACACACAAAUGAUACAUACCUGAUACAAAACAUUGGAAGGAGGAUGAGGCGAGACAACAUACUCACUGCGUCGUCACGCAACGACCAUGACGAUGAUGCAUAUGGAAUACUGGAGCCCGAUGACAACACAACAAAUAUGGAUGGUACACAUUAA
rnacentral:rRNA from 1 species